rnacentral:sRNA from 1 species
ACUGCUAUCUUUAGGUUUUCUUUUUGCAGGUGCUCCAAACAUGCUUCCUUUAUUUUUAUUUUUAUUUUUUUGGAGACUUUGUUGCCCAGGCUGGAGUCCAGUGAUAACCACCUGCCUCAAAGAUAAUCUGCUCAAAAGACUUCCAUUUCGUUCUCCACCCCAAGAAGCUUUAGAAAUUUUCUUCCUUCUCCCAGAAUGUCCUGUGAUGCAUAUUUCUAACAACUGGGAGAGCCUUGUGGUUACAUUUGCAAAGGUUGUUUGUAAAAUGAGUGACCAGUCUUCACUGGUUCUGGAAGAGUAUUGGGCAACUCUGCAAGAAUCCACUUUCAGCAAACUGGUCCAGAUGUUUAAAACAGCCGUCAUAUGCCAAUUGGAUUACUGGGAUGAAAGUGCUGAGGAGAAUGGUAAUGUUCAAGCUCUCCUAGAAAUGUUGAAGAAGCUGCACAGGGUAAACCAGAUGAAAUGUCAACUACCUGAAAGUAUUUUCCAAGUAGACGAACUCUUGUACCGUCUCAAUUUUUUUGUAGAAGUAUGCAGAAGGUACUUGUGGAAAAUGACUGUGGACACUUCAGAAAAUGUAGAAUGCUGUGUCAUAUUCAGUCACUUUCCAUUUAUCUUUAAUAAUCUAUCGAAAAUUAAACUACUACAUACAGACACACUUUUAAAAAUAGAGGGUAAAAAACAUAAAGCUUAUCUUAGGUCGGCAGCAAUUGAGGAAGAAAGAGAGUCUGAAUUUGCUUUGAGGCCCACGUUUGAUCUAACAGUCAGAAGGAAUCACUUGAUUGAGGAUGUUUUGAAUCAGCUAAGUCAGUUUGAGAAUGAAGACCUGAGGAAAGAGUUAUGGGUUUCAUUUAGUGGAGAAAUUGGGUAUGACCUCGGAGGAGUCAAGAAAGAGUUCUUCUACUGUCUGUUUGAAGAGAUGAUUCAGCCGGAAUAUGGGAUGUUCAUGUAUCCUGAAGGGGCUUCCUGCAUGUGGUUUCCUGUCAAGCCUAAAUUUGAGAAGAAAAGAUACUUCUUUUUUGGGGUUCUAUGUGGACUUUCCCUGUUCAAUUGCAAUGUUGCCAACCUCCCUUUCCCACUGGCACUGUUUAAGAAACUUUUGGACCAAAUACCGUCAUUGGAAGACUUGAAAGAACUCAGUCCUGAUUUGGGAAAGAAUUUGCAAACACUUCUGGAUGAUGAAGGUGAUAACUUUGAAGAAGUAUUUUACAUCCAUUUUAAUGUGCACUGGGACAGAAACGACACAAACUUAAUUCCUAAUGGAAGUAGCAUAAUUGUCAACCAGACUAACAAGAGAGACUAUGUUUCUAAGUAUAUCGAUUACAUUUUCAACGACUCUGUAAAGGCAGUUUAUGAAGAAUUUCGGAGAGGAUUUUAUAAAAUGUGUGACGAAGACAUUAUCAAAUUAUUCCACCCCGAAGAACUGAAGGAUGUGAUUGUUGGGAAUACAGAUUAUGAUUGGAAAACAUUUGAAAAGGUACAUCAUCAAGUCUAAGUUGAUUAAAUUCAGUUUUCUUUCCUAUUUCCUCAAUAACUUUUUUUUUGUAUUUUCUCUAGAAUGCACGUUAUGAACCAGGAUAUAACAGUUCACAUCCCACCAUAGUGAUGUUUUGGAAGGCUUUCCACAAGUUGACUCUGGAAGAAAAGAAAAAAUUCCUUGUAUUUCUUACAGGAACUGACAGACUACAAAUGAAAGAUUUAAAUAAUAUGAAAAUAACAUUUUGCUGUCCUGAAAGUUGGAAUGAAAGAGACCCUAUGAGAGCACUGACAUGUUUCAGUGUCCUCUUCCUCCCUAAAUAUUCUACAAUGGAAACAGUUGAAGAAGCGCUUCAAGAAGCCAUCAACAACAACAGAGGAUUUGGCUGACCAGCUUGCUUGUCCAACAGCCUUAUUUUGUUGUUGUUGUUAUUGUUGUUGUUGUUUCUCUA